rnacentral:sRNA from 1 species
AGUUGUGCAGUGGCAUUUAUAACUAAUCAAUCACAGACAGUUACAAAUUCAUUUGUUCCUUCUCCACUCUCACUGCAUCGCUUGUCACUUGAC